UACAGAGGUCUCAAGCGUUGUUCGGAUUCAUUGGGCGUAAAGGGCGCGUAGGUGGUGGCUUAAGCGUGCGGUGAAAGCUCGGGGCUCAACUCCGAGUCGGCCGUGCGAACUGGGCUCACUGGAGCAUAGUAGAGGCAGGUGGAAUUCCGGGUGUAGCGGUGGAAUGCGUAGAGAUCCGGAAGAACACCGGUGGCGAAGGCGGCCUGCUGGGCUAUGGCUGACACUGAGGCGCGACAGCGUGGGGAGCAAACAGGG
rnacentral:rRNA from 1 species